GCCAUGAUAGAGCAAUCUAUCAACAUUGCAGCAACUUCCCGGGUGUUUCCACAUACAGAAUACAACUAAAGAACAGGACUGGAUCGAUACAGUCAGUAAUUGUAUUCAGGAUUGUAUGUACAUAAUACCAGUAGAAAUAAUGUGCACUGUUUUUGAAGUACGUGUAAAGAAAGAGUCCACAUAGUAUUUUUCAACAGUAGAUCUCAACUCAAGUACUAACAAAGUCAGAAUCAUUAUCCCUAUAAUACAAAUAGACAAAUAGAGUCAGGGAACUAAAGCAAUCUAUUCUUUCAAGAUUGUGCUAUAGAACAGUAUUUAGAAAGGAAGCCAGCACCCUGAAGUCUUACUUCAGUGCUCGGUUUAUAGGCCAUAAAAGGUAACGAUAGCACUUUUUUACUUCUCAAGAGCUGUUACAGACAUUGAGAGCUUCAGGAGGGAGUUCAGUAAGUGAGAAGAUUCCAAGGUAAUUCUACAGAACUAAACAUUGUAUACAUUUGGCUUCUCUCCUUUUGAAGAUCUUGUAUUGUUCCCUUUGUUAUGGAUUCUUCAUCUAAAGUUUGGAGUAAAAAGAGCACUGCUGAAGAAUUUUGGAGGUGGAUAUGUUUGAAUAUAUCUGUAUGCCAUCAUUUACGGAAAAAGAAGCUCCCAUACAGAAAGUGAAUAAGACAACUUUAUUGCCUUGCAUUGUUAUCUACUGCACCUUAUUUGCUAUCUCCAUUUGACUCCUGUCUUCUCUCUUCUUUACCAGUCCUGUAAUGGAAGAAGAGACACAGCUGGAACAAUACUAUUUCCAGGAAAAUCCUGAGGAAUCAGCUCAGGAAGGCAUAAAUUAAAAAGAGCCUUAAGGUACUAGCAGGGAAACUUGAAGUUCUGAAGAUGUUGAUCGGUAUACAACUGAUGUACACAGAAAGAGAGCUCCUCUCAGGUGAAUGAGGAUGAAACCAGCAGCCCUGGAGGUGAGCUGGUGCGUGUGAGUCCUGCCUUUCAACUCAGUAAACUAUCUCAGAAAGAGUGAGGUCCUAAGGUGCAACAGUUGAUCUUUUCUGAGAAUAGAAUUUGCAAUAUAAAUGCAAUUUAUGUCAGCAUUUGCAGCUUCACUGUAUUUGUGGAUACUUGCUAGCUUGAAACAUCAAGUUUCAAUGAUUCUUUUUCACCAAAUUCCAGAGGUCCGUGCCCAGACCCUACAAAACAUAACAAAAAUGCUUUAAGGAUUUCCAGCUCUUCAAACAUCUUGUGUUUCAUAUUUUACCUUUAUAUUUCAUGAGAGAUGUAACAUUAUAUUAUUGCUGUAGAAUGUUGGGGAAAAAAAUGUAUGCAUGUGUACAUGGGUAUAUUGUAGAAUCAUAGAAUGGCCUGGGUUGAAAAGGACCACAAUGAUCAUCCCGUUUCAACCCCACUGCUAUGUGCAGUGUUGCCAACCACCAGACCAGGCUGCCCAGAGCCACAUACAGACUGGCCUUGAAUGCAUCCAGGGAUGGGGCAUCCACAACCUCCUUGGGCAACCUGUUCCAGUGCGUCACCACCCUCUGAGUGAAAAACUUCCUUCUAAUAUCUAACCUGAACUUCGCUGUCUUAGUUUAAAACCAUUCCCCCUUGUCCUAUUGUUUAAAACCAUUCCCCCUAGUCCCAAGCAUAUAAUGAGGAUAGACAUUCACAGCUAGGCUGAACCCAAGCCCUGUCCUGCAGAAUUAGCGAAUGGCUCCUUCUUUCUUGUCUGAAAGACCUGUACUCAGGUACUGUCUCAUCUCAAUAUUUCUAUGGAGGUUUCAUCUAUGUUCAGGGUUGGGAGGGGUCAGACAGAAAGAGG
ensembl:lncRNA